CGGAGGGUGCGAGCGUUAAUCGGAAUAACUGGGCGUAAAGGGCACGCAGGCGGACUUUUAAGUGAGAUGUGAAAUCCCCGAGCUUAACUUGGGAACUGCAUUUCAGACUGGGAGUCUAGAGUACUUUAGGGAGGGGUAGAAUUCCACGUGUAGCGGUGAAAUGCGUAGAGAUGUGGAGGAAUACCGAAGGCGAAGGCAGCCCCUUGGGAAUGUACUGACGCUCAUGUGCGAAAGCGUGGGGAGCAAACAGGAUUAGAUACCCUGGUAGUCCACGCUGUAAACGCUGUCGAUUUGGGGAUUGGGCUAUAUGCUUGGUGCCCGAAGCUAACGUGAUAAAUCGACCGCCUGGGGAGUACGGCCGCAAGGUUAAAACUCAAAUGAAUUGACGGGGGCCCGCACAAGCGGUGGAGCAUGUGGUUUAAUUCGAUGCAACGC
rnacentral:rRNA from 1 species